rnacentral:misc_RNA from 1 species
AGGAUAUUUCCAGGAUGCAUGUCAGCAUGAAUAAAGUUAUCCACCAAAAGCAUCUUUAGUAGAGCAUGUGUCCCAAUAUGAGCAAGUGCACUUUUAAGUCUUUCAUGGCCUUCAAGCUCAUCAACAUAAUAUGAAACACAUUCCCCUUGUUCAAAAGUCUCCACCAAUACAGCAGGAUGCACUAGGGGAUAGACAGGCUUUGGAAAAGAGACAUCCUUCCAUCUGCGGAAAUUAUAGAUGAAGCGGCUUAAAUGUGCAGCCUCCCUAGCAAGAUCAACCUGAGACAUCAUAAAAACAGCAAAUUGCUGGACGCUUUCAUCCAACCUUAACCACUUAAGUUUAGGAAUGCACUUUGAUAUCUUAGCGACUAGAUUAAUAAUCUCAAAAUCUCGUCU